UCGCAGAGUUUUAGAAAACAACAAACAUGAAAUUUGUAUCUUUUGUAUUUGCUUUGGUCCUUGUAGCCAUUCAACUUUCAAGCAUUUCCGCUCAAGAAGCCGAACUAGAUAUGUGUAAUAAAAUUUCUUGCCCUAUGAUAUAUACACCAUUCUGUGGAAUAAACAACGCUGAUCCUACAGACCAAAGAAUAUUCGGAAAUGAAUGUGAUAUGAGAUCUGUAAAUGCUUGUCGUCCAAAGGAUAAACAAUAUCGAGCAUGCAAUUAAAGAGGAUAUUAAAAAAGACAUUUUGUUUGGUUUGGUGAAACAAAUUCCAAGUUAUUAUAAAAUGAGUUUAAAAGUGAAAUAAUAAAGGGAAAAUAAAAUUUGGCAUCUUAACAAACAAAA